GACGAACGCUGGCGGCGUGCCUAAUACAUGCAAGUCGAACGAGAGCGACCGGUGCUUGCACUGGUCAAUCUAGUGGCGAACGGGUGAGUAACACGUGGGUAACCUGCCCAUCAGAGGGGGAUAACAUUCGGAAACGGAUGCUAAAACCGCAUAGGUCUUCGAACCGCAUGGUUUGAAGAGGAAAAGAGGCGCAAGCUUCUGCUGAUGGAUGGACCCGCGGUGCAUUAGCUAGUUGGUGAGGUAACGGCUCACCAAGGCCGUGAUGCAUAGCCGACCUGAGAGGGUGAUCGGCCACAUUGGGACUGAGACACGGCCCAAACUCCUACGGGAGGCAGCAGUAGGGAAUCUUCCGCAAUGGACGCAAGUCUGACGGAGCAACGCCGCGUGAGUGAAGAAGGUUUUCGGAUCGUAAAACUCUGUUGUUAGAGAAGAACAAGUGCUAGAGUAACUGUUAGCGCCUUGACGGUAUCUAACCAGAAAGCCACGGCUAACUACGUGCCAGCAGCCGCGGUAAUACGUAGGUGGCAAGCGUUGUCCGGAUUUAUUGGGCGUAAAGCGAGCGCAGGCGGUUCCUUAAGUCUGAUGUGAAAGCCCCCGGCUCAACCGGGGAGGGUCAUUGGAAACUGGGGAACUUGAGUGCAGAAGAGGAGAGUGGAAUUCCAUGUGUAGCGGUGAAAUGCGUAGAUAUAUGGAGGAACACCAGUGGCGAAGGCGACUCUCUGGUCUGUAACUGACGCUGAGGCUCGAAAGCGUGGGUAGCAAACAGG
rnacentral:rRNA from 1 species